rnacentral:rRNA from 1 species
AUUGAACGCUGGCGGCAUGCCUUACACAUGCAAGUCGAACGGUAACAGGUUAAGCUGACGAGUGGCGAACGGGUGAGUAAUGUAUCGGAACGUGCCCAGUCGUGGGGGAUAACUGCUCGAAAGAGCAGCUAAUACCGCAUACGACCUGAGGGUGAAAGCGGGGGAUCGCAAGACCUCGCGCGAUUGGAGCGGCCGAUAUCAGAUUAGGUAGUUGGUGAGGUAAAGGCUCACCAAGCCGACGAUCUGUAGCUGGUCUGAGAGGACGACCAGCCACACUGGGACUGAGACACGGCCCAGACUCCUACGGGAGGCAGCAGUGGGGAAUUUUGGACAAUGGGCGCAAGCCUGAUCCAGCCAUGCCGCGUGCGGGAAGGAGGCCUUCGGGUUGUAAACCGCUUUUGUCAGGGAAGAAAAGGUUCUGGCUAAUACCUGGGACUCAUGACGGUACCUGAAGAAUAAGCACCGGCUAACUACGUG